rnacentral:rRNA from 1 species
CCUACGGGGGGCUGCAGUGGGGAAUAUUGGACAAUGGGGGCAACCCUGAUCCAGCCAUGCCGCGUGUGUGAAGAAGGCCCUCGGGUUGUAAAGCACUUUCAGUGAGGAAGAACGCCUGGUGGUUAAUACCCAUCAGGAAAGACAUCACUCACGGAAGAAGCACCGGCUAACUCCGUGCCAGCAGCCGCGGUAAUACGGAGGGUGCGAGCGUUAAUCGGAAUUAUUGGGCGUAAAGCGCGCGUAGGUGGCUUGAUAAGCCGGUUGUGAAAGCCCCGGGCUCAACCUGGGAACGGCAUCCGGAACUGUCAAGCUAGAGUGCAGGAGAGGAAGGUAGAAUUCCCGGUGUAGCGGUGAAAUGCGUAGAGAUCGGGAGGAAUACCAGUGGCGAAGGCGGCCUUCUGGACUGACACUGACACUGAGGUGCGAAAGCGUGGGUAGCAAACAGGAUUAGAUACCCUGGUAGUC